rnacentral:tRNA from 1 species
GGGGGUACAGCUCAGAGGCAGAGUGCAUGCUUGGCGUGCAUGAGGUCCUGGGUUCGAUCCCAGUACCUCCU